AUGGACGCGGCAGAGGAGAGGAGACUGCUGGUCCAAGGGGACGGGGAUCACGAGCCGCUCCUCCUUCCUUCCCAGCAGGAUGCUAGUGUUUACACAGGGGAUGGAUCCGUCGACAUCAAAGGCCGUCCUGCGACGAGGCGCGCCACGGGCAACUGGCGAGCCUGCUUCUUCAUCCUAGGAACUGAGUGUUGUGAGCGUCUGGCCUACUAUGGAAUUGCAACAAACCUAGUUACUUAUCUGAAAAUAAAGCUUCAUCAAGGCAAUCUUGAAGCUGCAAGAAAUGUUAUCACUUGGCAAGGGACAUGCUAUCUGACUACCCUCGUUGGAGCCAUCCUAGCAGAUUCUUAUUGGGGAAAGUACUGGACUAUUGCUGUUUUCUCAUCGAUUUAUUUCAUUGGUCUGGCUGGUUUAACGAUUUCAGCAUCAUUUCCAGCACUUCAACCACCUUCAUGUUUAGGAUCUGUCUGUCCAGAACCAAGCCUACUUCAGAAUGGCACAUUUUUCCUGGGUCUCUAUAUGAUUGCCCUAGGAACUGGAGGCAUUAAACCUUGUGUGUCAUCCUUUGGAGCGGAUCAAUUUGAUGACAGUGAUCCGACAGAGAGAGUAAAGCAGGGUUCCUUCUUCAACUGGUUCUAUUUCUGCAUAAAUGUCGGUGCACUCUUAUCAGGCACUGUUAUUGUUUGGAUACAAGAUAACUCAGGUUGGGGAAUAGGAUUUGCCAUUCCUACUGUAUUUAUGGCAUUGGCUAUUGCAAGCUUCUUUUCAGCCUCAAAUAUGUACAGAUUUCAGAAACCCGGUGGGAGUCCAAUUACAAGAGUGUGCCAGGUUGUUGUCGCAGCAUUCCGUAAGUGGCAUAUCGAGUUGCCACUCGAUGCAUCUCUUCUGUAUGAGGUUGAUAGUCAAAAUUCAGCAAUAGAGGGAAGCCGGAAGCUGGAGCACACAAGUGAACUUGAAUUCCUUGACAAGGCUGCCAUCAUCUCAUCUACUGAUGCCAAGAGUGACUUUUCUGCAAACCCAUGGAGGCUAUGCACUGUCACCCAAGUGGAAGAACUGAAGAUCCUUGUAAGAAUGUUCCCGGUUUGGGCUACUACUAUCAUAUUCAGCGCGGUAUUUGCUCAGAGCUCCGUAUUCGUGGAGCAGGGAAUGGUUCUUGACAAACGGGUUGGAUCUUUCGAUAUUCCUCCGGCAUCCCUAUUUACUUUCAACGGAAUCAGUGUCAUGAUCUGGAUUGCAAUUUAUGACCGCGUCCUCAUACCCAUAGCUAGAAAGUUCACUGGAAGGGAAAAGGGUUUCUCUGAGCUACAGCGAAUGGGCAUUGGAUUAGCCCUGUCCAUUGCGACAAUGGUAUCUGCAGCUCUUGUUGAGUUGAAGCGCUUAGAGAUUGCCAGGACUGAGGGUCUCAUCCAUGAGAAUGUUGCUGUUCCAAUGAGCAUUCUUUGGCAAAUACCACAGUAUUGCUUUGCUGGUGCUGCCGAGGUUUUCACCGCUAUAGGUCAAGUCGAGUUCUUCUACAGUCAGGCCCCAGAUGCCAUGAGGAGCUUAUGUGCUGCAUUAGCACUUGUUACGGUCACGGUGGGAAGCUAUUUAAGCUCAAUCAUAUUGACCUUGGUGUCAUACCUUACAACUCAAGGAGGAGAUGCAGGAUGGAUCCCGGAUAAUUUGAACGAAGGCCAUCUUGACCGGUUCUUUUGGUUGAUGGCAGGGAUCAGCUUUGUAAAUUUGCUGGUUUACAUUGGUUGCGCAAUGAGAUACAAAUAUAAGAAUUCGUGA
rnacentral:rRNA from 1 species